CCUACGGGUGGCAGCAGUGAGGAAUAUUGGUCAAUGGCCGGAAGCCUGAACCAGCCAAGCCGCGUGAGGGAUGAAUGCCCUACGCGUUGCAAACCUCUUUUAUCGAGGGAUAAAGUGCCGCACGCGUCCCUUUUUGUAUGUACUUUAUGAAUAAGCAUCGGCUAACUCCGUGCCAGCAGCCGCGGUAAUACGGAGGAUGCGAGCGUUAUCCGGAUUUAUUGGGUUUAAAGGGUGCGUAGGCGGGCUGUUAAGUCAGGUGUGAAAGUUUGGGGCUCAACCGUACAAGUGCAGUUGAAACUGGCAGCCUUGAGUGCAGUUGAGGUAGGCGGAAUUCGUGGUGUAGCGGUGAAAUGCUUAGAUAUCGCGAAGAACUCCGAUUGCGAAGGCAGCGUGCUAAGCUGCCACUGACAUUGAUGCUCGAAAGUGUGGGGAUCAAACAGGAUUAGAUACCCCAGUAGUC
rnacentral:rRNA from 1 species